rnacentral:rRNA from 1 species
UCCAGACUCCUACGGGAGGCAGCAGUGGGGAAUAUUGCACAAUGGGGGAAACCCUGAUGCAGCGACGCCGCGUGAGCGAAGAAGUAUUUCGGUAUGUAAAGCUCUAUCAGCAGGGAAGAAAAUGACGGUACCUGAGUAAGAAGCUCCGGCUAAAUACGUGCCAGCAGCCGCGGUAAUACGUAUGGAGCAAGCGUUAUCCGGAUUUACUGGGCGUAAAGGGAGCGUAGGCGGCCUGCCAAGUCUGAUGUGAAAUGCCGGGGCUCAACCCCGGGGCUGCAUUGGAAACUGGCAGGCUGGAGUGCCGGAGAGGCAGGCGGAAUUCCUAGUGUAGCGGUGAAAUGCGUAGAUAUAAGGAAGAACACCAGUGGCGAAGGCGGAUGACUGGACGGCAACUGACGGUGAGGCGCGAAAGCGUGGGGAGCAAACAGGAUUAGAUACCCGAGUAC